AGUCCAUUCCAGGUUAUUGUUCAUGUGAACUCCCAGGUACUUGUAAGAUGUCACCACCAGCUCAUUGAUAGCAACAAAUACCCAGAAUGCAGGCAUGAAAAUCACUCACCUUUCGGCGAAAUUUGACAUUUUGAAACCAAAAUAGGUGACCUACGUGAAUAGUGUAGCUCUGAUGAGAAAAUAUUUUUUUUUUGGGGGGGGGGUGUAUGGACAGGACAUGGAGGUAUACCAGAGAAUGAAAUGCGAACAUGUGCGCACCUGAGGGGAGCCUUGAAUUCGAUAAAAAACAACUUUUGUACAAUCUCUACAACUCAUUUUCAAUUUCCAUCUAGCAGAUGUGUUCAGGAAGAUCAGUCAGAAUUUGCAUUCCCUGUAAGAAAGAAAACAAAUUUGUCUUCAAAAUAAGAGCUUUACAUUGUACCCCAUUGGAGUUUAGAACUGGGUUCUUAGCGGAGGGCUUUUAAGUUGAAAGUAGUGUCAGAGACACUACUGCUUGAUAUUAAGGGUAAUUAAUCACUGGCGAUUAAUUAUACACUCAUUAAUGGGGCACCACCUCCAUUGUUUAGUUCUUGGAAUAAUCCGGAGGAAUUUAUUCCAAGCACCUAGUUGUACAAGUUUGAUCUAUCGGUUCUCCACCUUAGAAUUAAGUUCCAGACAAAGACAAACGAUUCUAUAUGUUUAUUGACUAAAUAAUUUGGGGUAAAAUAAAUGGAAUGACAAUUUUAGACGGACAACAACAGAAAACGUAAAGACUGUAAUUAGGAAAGUAAUGAAGUUAGAGUUAGGCAGAUGGUGGAGUUAAAGGGUCGGGUUUUUAUAUAUUAAAUAUUACGGGAGUAAUUUUUAAUACUAACAAGACCCUAAUCUCAAUUCUCUUAAUUUCAUAAGAUAGAAGUCAGAACUUAGACAGAAGUCAGAACCUAGACAGAAGUCAGAACUUUAGACACCACUCAUUCUCACGUGUGUGGAUCCAGCUGUAUGAGGACAUUCAGGCUGUUUGUCUGGGAGUCAGGAGAUCCUGAAGCUUGGUUUCCUUGAGAGUUCUAGGUUGGACUACAGAACGGCGUGUUGGUCCAGUAGCCAGAGGGAAAGCCGGUACUCUGUUGAGGGACUCUCGGUCCUGAAGGCCCAGCGGGGUUUCUGCCUUUGGAGCGCUGGGGGCAGAGUCAGUCUUGGCUGGGAGCACACAAAGUCUCUUUUGUUGGAGACACCUUGCAAGGCUUCUGAAGCAGACAAUAACUGCAACGUUCUUCAUCAGAUAGUCUUGAAAAAGACUUUUUGUUCGUUGUUUCAGGUGGUGGUUCAUAAGUUCUGAUUCUUAACUAAUUCAACCUCCUCUGGAUCAGGCGGUGAUACUUUAAAAAUCAAAAAGAAAAGAAUUUUGUUCUGUUAAAACUUGGAUGAAGUAAAACACUUAAAGUGGUGGUUCAGUUCGCUUUUCUUAGAGCUUUUUGCAAAAAUAGAAUUAAAGAUUACUUUAAAAAUAAAAAGGGAAGAAAAGAGAGAGGAGAAAGGGCAGAGACUAGCAGAGUAGAAGAGUGCAGAGAAGAGAAGAAGGAAGAGAGAGAAGAAAAAGAGUCGAACAGAGAGAGAGCAUGUCUCUGUUUUAUGGCCUGCAGCAGAUGGACCACAAGGUGUGGGGGCUGGUUGAGUGUCCCUCCUCCUGUGAUCUGAGUUUAGGCUCCCAGAAGUUUAAUCUAACUAAACUAUUGUAUUUAAUGUUUUGUAAUCAUGUUUUAACCUUCUCAAAACUUCACCAUCUUAAAAGUCGAAUUUUUGUCUUUGUGAAACGAUGCGACAUGCUUAUGAUCAUUCAAAAGGAUUAAGACAUGAUUAAGACAUAAAACAAUUAAGUAUACAACAUAAACAAAGUAUACAAUGCACAGUGGGACCAGGACUUGUACAUAUUCCUUGUAGUUCUAACUAAACAAAACAUAUAAGACAUUUAACUGGUAAAUAACAAAGUAUUAUACACAAAGAGGAUAAUGAUCUGAAAAUUACCAAGGGGAGGGGCUGGCUUCUCCCCGACUUCAAACUCAGUAAGCAAUAACUUCAUUCUGGUUUAACAGUACAUUGAGAAACAUGAAACAUCAACAUAUGACCUUCUUAUGCCAUUUGUGAAUCUGCUAAAAUUAAGAACAUGAAAUUGUAGUUUAUUAGUUAUUCAGAACUUAUUGGAAUUUGGAUGAGGAUAGAGACUGCAGUGGGACUGGAAUGUCAGACCCAGGAACAACCACGGUCGUAAAUAAAAGUUCGACAUGUGUGGUGGAAAAACACAUAGAUCGGGGGGGGGGGACCAGAUGUGCUUAGUCAUUGUAAAUUAGAAAAAGAAGGUCUCUGGUGAUCGGUUUAUAGCAAGACAGACACCAUCUUCUCACUCUGUGAAGAGAAGAAGAUCUGCCAGGUCAGGAGGUGAGGGGGCUCUCCGGCCCACAUGCUGGAGGAAGUAGCCAAUCUGGGUCAAAGGUAAUUAUGGCAGAGCAGGACCAUUUUAAGAUACAAGCCGCUCCCCCAAAACCAUGAAUGCGCAUCGUCCGACCACUACCGAAUACUGCCGUCAGAGUCCGGGUCUUCAUGAAUGGUGGGAGGAGGAGUACUAGUGCAUUGUUUUCAUCACAACAUCUAACUACAAGUUGCAACUUAAUGUCUCAUUCACCUAACUUCCACGAUGACAGCAUCACUAACUCUGAUGACAAAGACAUGCCACAGAGCAAAACAGAUCAUCCUGUCAGAGAGGACGACAGGAGGGCAACCAGCUGUGUCUGAGAAAGUGGAGGUAGAUGGACUUGGGAGGGCGACGGUUCAAGGAGCAGAUGUUGAUACACUGAGUAGAGGAUCUUCAGGCUCAAAAGAUUGCUCAUGAGCAGGUCAGCAUCCAGCACAGAACAUUACUGGUGCUUUUGUCCUGAUAAACACCACGUACAACUAUUGUUGUUUGUACAGUAUAUUGACCAGGCAUGUGAUUUGGACUCACAAGCGCCCUUAUCAUAAUCACCUAUUUUGCCAAGUAGUUUUUCACCACUUGAAUUUGUGUUUUGGUGCAUGAUAAUAAACACAGUAAGUAGAAACAUGUAAGAAAAAUUGAGGACUGCUACUUGGGAAAACUAUAAAAUGAUAUAAACUUGGUCAUCUGUGCAGUUUUGUCCAGGAAUGUCUACAGUAUCAGUCAUUGAAAGUGUAUAUGUUCACUGUAUGCUGAGGACAGUUGAGCUCUGUUCCAUAAAGAUAUUUAAUCAUGUUGCUCAUUUAUUUCUUUGCAGACCAAAAUUCAAGGACUAUGUUUGGAGCAAUCACAUUAAGUGCUGGAACUCUGCCUGACACCUAUUGAUUUGUCGUUCUGUGUUUACUCCUUGUUUUGCAUUAUCUCUAAAUUGUUUGAAUAAAGUCUUGAAAAUGA